rnacentral:rRNA from 1 species
CAUGCAAGUCGAACGGCAGCACGGGUAGCAAUCCUGGUGGCGAGUGGCGAANGGGUGAGUAAUAUAUCGGAACAUGCCCAGAUCGUGGGGGAUAACGCAGCGAAAGCUGUGCUAAUACCGCAUACGAUCCAUGGAUGAAAGCGGGGGACUCGCAAGGGCCUCGCGCGAUUGGAGUGGCCGAUAUCAGAUUAGCUAGUUGGUGGGGUAAAAGCUCACCAAGGCGACGAUCUGUAGCUGGUCUGAGAGGACGACCAGCCACACUGGAACUGAGACACGGUCCAGACUCCUACGGGAGGCAGCAGUGGGGAAUUUUGGACAAUGGGCGCAAGCCUGAUCCAGCAAUGCCGCGUGCAGGAUGAAGGCCUUCGGGUUGUAAACUGCUUUUGUACGGAGCGAAAAGGUCUUUCCUAAUACGAGGGGCUCAUGACGGUACCGUAAGAAUAAGCACCGGCUAACUACGUGCCAGCAGCCGCGGUAAUACGUAGGGUGCGAGCGUUAAUCGGAAUUACUGGGCGUAAAGCGUGCGCAGGCGGUUUUGUAAGACAAAUGUGAAAACCCCGGGCUCAACCUGGGAACUGCAUAUGUGACUGCAAGACUAGAGUACGGCAGAGGGGGAUGGAAUUCCGCGUGUAGCAGUGAAAUGCGUAGAUAUGCGGAGGAACACCGAUGGCGAAGGCAAUCCCCUGGGCCUGUACUGACGCUCAUGCACGAAAGCGUGGGGAGCAAACAGGAUUAGAUACCCUGGUAGUCCACGCCCUAAACGAUGUCAACUGGUUGUUGGGUCUUUAC